UUGUCCAGCCUAUGGUUUUGAUUCCUCCUUCUCUGUACAAGGUGGAAUUAUGGCUGGACAUAAAGUAAAUCAGUCUGUUUAGGAGGGCAGCACACAGCAUUGUGCACUCCCUUAAAGGCUCGACUGGACAGU